rnacentral:hammerhead_ribozyme from 1 species
AUCCAGCUAACGCGUCCCAAAUAGGACGAAACGCGUGUCAUGGAU